rnacentral:rRNA from 1 species
CUCGUAGGCGGCCAACUAAGUCGGAUGUGAAAUCCCCAAGCUUAACUUGGGAACUGCAUCCGAUACUGGAUGGCUUGAAUCCGGGAGAGGGAUGCAGAAUUCCAGGUGUAGCGGUGAAAUGCGUAGAUAUCUGGAGGAAUACCGGUGGCGAAGGCGGCAUCCUGGACCGGCAUUGACGCUGAUGAGCGAAAGCUAGGGGAGCCAAACG